AAACCGCCGCCGUCUCUCGACCACGCCACACGCCUCGCCCCACCUAUUCCCCACAGCCUCCACCUCUGCCUCCAUCUCCACGCGCCGCCGGACCGUCGCGCCCACGCUCCAGGCGCACGGCCGCCUCCACCACGCCCACGCUCCAGGCGCACGGCCGCGUCCUCCACGCGCCGCCCGGACCGCCGACCGCCGCGCCCACCCUCCAGGCGCAUGGACGCGUCCUCCACGCGCCGCCCGGACCGCCGACCGCCGCGCCCACGCUCCACCGUACAGACGCGACCUCCAGGCGCCUCCCGGACAGGCGCCGCCUGAAGUCCACCCUACAGGUGCCUUCCGCCCAUAUUCUGGUUGCAGUGACCAUUUUUUGUUUAAUUGUUCGCAUGUUCAAUACCACACCCCCGCUCUCAGAUCCAGGCUGCUCGUUGGUGCCGAGCCCCAGCGUAGCACCCACCGUCUCCAUCUCCUGCGUCAGGACGCUGUUCCCACGGCCCUCCGACAGGUUCGUGGCUAAGUCACGGCCGCCGCGAUGGCAAGUACUCCAUGCGCCCUCGGUCGGUCGCUGCCGUCGCCGAGCAGUCCUCCUAUGAUUUCGCAUCUUAGUUCGCUACUGGAGAUGAACAGGACCAAGAGCUGCAGAGAUGGCAAGUACUUGACAAGAAAGAAUUACAGGCAGUUCCACCUGGAGGUGGGACAGGCUGUGGAAAUUGAAUGUAUUGUAAAGAUUUAGGAUGUAAACCAGGAGGUGAUCAAAGUAUUGGAGGGGCUGGGAUUUCGUGAAGAAAAUACCCAUCUUCCGUUUCACUGAGAGGGGAUGAUACCGAUGGUUCACUGCUAUAUUUGAUGUGAAAGUGUAAAUUGUGUGUCUGAUUAGGCUUUCUCUUUGGUUGCUAUUGGAAUAUAUAGGAGGUUGCCUGCUUUCCUUUUAUGCCAUAGUUCACACCACAUUUUUGUUUUUAGGCUUAUGUAUGAGUUGGUUUCAAAGUUAGAUUGGAGGAAUGCCCAUUUCUUCACCACUUCGGGGGUAAAAGUAGUAUGUGGAGCAAGUUAUUGCUUCCCUUCUCAUUUUUUGCUGUCAAGAAUCAAGUAUUAUACUUAAUGUUUUUUUAUUUUAUAGCCUCAUUUGUGAUCUUUUUCAUUUUAUUCCUUGUUAAUAUAUUCAAGGGUCUCAUUGCUACUUUGUCUCGAUAAUUUUAUAUCUACUUCAUGUCAUCACAAAUACAUGUUUUUAAUAGGAUCCGUCUUUUCUUUGUUCUAUUUUGGUCUUACCUUAAGGCCAUACCACUGCAGGAAACUUGGCUUACUUGGGAGUAUGAUCCAUGCUUUAUGAUGUUGUGAGUGACUUCUCGUGUUUAGUGCUUGCAGCGUAGAUCAGUAGAUGGAGAAGAGCCAACUUAACUGGAGUCCACACAGCACAAACGAACCAGAGUGUUUACAUUUCUUUCAAGUGCAAGAAGGCAGUUACACUACUGAAAUUAUAUGCGGAUGAAAUGCUUGGGACUACAAGAUGCUACAAGGAAACUAAAUGCAAAAGAAAACUAUGGAGGAAGUAUUACGUGCAAUACUAAAUCUGGAGGAAGAAUAAAAAUCAAGUAAAGGUUGGAGGUAGAAUCAACUUCAAGCUCGAGUACCCAAUGGUAGAGAAAUAGAAAGGAGGCACAAGAUGGAAGUAUGAACUCUGGCAGUAACAUUUUUAAUUUUCCAAGUUAUGUUGAUGAUGUUAAGGUUAAUGGACAACUCUACAGGCACUUAGUAGAACACAAGCUUUUGUUGUUGAGUUCAAUAUAAGGUGUCCUGUGUAUUUUUUAAGGUGUCAUGUUUCUCAAGAGAAUACAUCUGCACGUAAGGAACCAGCUAAUAAAUGAACUAGCUCACAAGCAGUCUUUGCUUUUGCUUCAUUGAUUUCAUUGUAGCAUAGUUCUAUUCAUAUUUCUGAUACUUAUUUUUUCUGUAUCACUUACAAUUUUCGUUUAGCAAAGUGAUGUCCCUCUUGAAUAAUCAUAUGCUGCUGUCAGUUCGAACAUUGCACUUAGCAAAUUUAAUCUUUUAUGGGAUUGGAUGUGAUUUUCUCUUCCCUUAUACUAAUUCUAACAUUAAUGGGAUAUUGCGUACAAUGUUCUAAUGCUAAGCUGUUGUAAGUACUCGGUUAUCAAAAAAACUUGUAAGUACUCACUGUGGUUUCAGCAUGAUGCUUGGUAUAUGGAGUUUAUAGUAUUAAUCUGAUGCAUAAGCCUUUCCAAAUUAAUUCAACAUGUCUGCUCUGGUUUUACUUUCUUUUCUUCUCUCAUCCUUAAGUUUCUUGCUUGUGUUACUAUGAAGGAUGUGCAAGAGAGUUGAUGCCUGCCGAGUUCCAACUCUGAAGGAUGUGCAUCUCAUUUUACUUAAAGCAAGCACUCCAAGUAGCAAAUCCCGAAUGGAAUGAUGUUUCUUUUUCCUCUGGCAUCGUCGAUUACCAGCUUGUGUUCCAAAAAGCACAGAGAGGCGACUACCUUUGAAACCCACUAAAGCAACUUAUUUAGUUUUUUUAACGCUCAAGAUAAUGAUAAUGCAUUUAUCUACAUGAACUUGUCUGAUUAUUUUGCUUUUAUUUUAUUGCACUCAUGGAAUGCGAAAGAACUAAAUCAACCAAUUUGCAGGGUCAAUAUUCGUUGUUUCAUGAUUUUUCAUUCUGCUAUGCGAAAACUCCAAAAUAUUGACUUACUAUUUUCAUUCAGGAUGGUGACCAGAUAAGGAAGCAAUUUUUGGUGCACCUACUCAACUACAUCAACAAUGAAGCUGCACACAACAUUCCGGAUACUUACGUGAAUUCAUUAGCCUUAUUAGGAAAUACUGGGAUAAUUGUUUUGGCUCUAUGCACAUGACGAGUCGAUGAUACAUUAAGGUUGUGUUUGGCUGCUCAGUUUUUUUGAAGUAUUUGGAGAAUACUAUGGUUUUCUCAUAAACCACAGAUUUCAAAACUUUGAGCUGUUUGGCUUCAACAAAUAGUUUUAUAAACCAUAGUAUCUCUAAUACCAUGGUUUUUUGGUAGUAUUUAAUAAAGAGAUCUUCACCACUUUUUUACAAACUGAAAAAACCGUGGUUUUUAUAAACUGAAGAAUUAAUUGUACUGAGGUUCUCGGUUACUACUGUUUUGAGAAAACUAUGUUGCCAAACUAGGCCUGUAGUGUUUUCUUGAUUUGUAAUAGUACUUUUGAGUGCAAUCAAAAUAUCUUUAUGUGCAUGUUAAUUCUGACAUAUGUUUGUCAUAUUAAUUGAGAUGUGCAUUUGCACGUGCACGCUUACUAGUUCCUUGCAAGAGAGAGCACAGAACACAAGAACGAAGAGAUUUGCGCCGCGUGAACUUCUCACGGCUUUUCUUCUGCUUCUAUUAUUCAUUCAAGGUACAAGGUAGUGGGCCUCGCGGCCGCAAAACGCCGUGACCCAUUCAGCGUCUUGCUACAUAACGACUUGGUUCUUGCAGGGACUUGACGACUUAUUAGGACGCGACCCAAACAGACUCGACAUCGGCCAAACUAAGACAAGACGUGCUGUAAGCACACAAGCCGCCACAAUUGUUUAUUUGGAAAGGGAAACAUUCACUAUGAUUUACGUAUUCCCUUCCGAUGUAAAAUAAUUGUCGCAGUUUUGUAUUAAGUUUGAACUAACCUAGUAGCAAACUGCGACACUUAUUAUGAAUCAGAGAGAGUACGAUAUACCAGUAACGGGUGACAAUUUAUUCAUGGUCUGCUGUACGUAUUUGCAUUUC